GUCCCUUCGGGGACAUCCAAUAAAAUUGGAACGAUACAGAGAAGAUUAGCAUGGCCCCUGUACAAGGAUGGCACACAAUCUAUUGGAUUUUGCUCCGGAAUAAUUAUU